UACAGAGGGGGCAAGCGUUGUUCGGAAUUACUGGGCGUAAAGGGCGCGUAGGCGGCCUUCUAAGUCGAACGUGAAAUCCCCGGGCUCAACCCGGGAACUGCGUCCGAUACUGAAAGGCUUGAAUCCGGGAGAGGGAUGCGGAAUUCCAGGUGUAGCGGUGAAAUGCGUAGAUAUCUGGAGGAACACCGGUGGCGAAGGCGGCAUCCUGGACCGGUAUUGACGCUGAGGCGCGAAAGCCAGGGGAGCAAACGGG
rnacentral:rRNA from 1 species